UACGUAGGGGGCAAGCGUUGUCCGGAUUUAUUGGGCGUAAAGGGCGCGUAGGCGGCCGGUUGCGUCGGAUGUGAAAGCCCGGGGCUCAACCCCGGAACGGCAUCCGAUACGGGCUGGCUUGAGACCGAGAGAGGUGAGUGGAAUACCCAGUGUAGAGGUGAAAUGCGUAGAUAUCGUGAGGAAGACCAGUGGCGAAGGCGAAUCUCUGGACAGUAACUGACGCUGAGGCACGAAGGCUAGGGGAGCAAACGGG
rnacentral:rRNA from 1 species